AAUCCAGACUCCUACGGGAGGCAGCAGUGGGGGAUAUUGCACAAUGGGGGAAACCCUGAUGCAGCGACGCCGCGUGGGCGAAGAAGUAUUUCGGUAUGUAAAGCCCUAUCAGCAGGGAAGAAGAAAUGACGGUACCUGAGUAAGAAGCCCCGGCUAACUACGUGCCAGCAGCCGCGGUAAUACGUAGGGGGCAAGCGUUAUCCGGAUUCACUGGGUGUAAAGGGAGCGUAGACGGCGACGCAAGUCUGGAGUGAAAGCCCGGGGCCCAACCCCGGGACUGCUCUGGAAACUGCGGCGCUGGAGUACGGGAGGGGCAGGCGGAAUUCCUGGUGUAGCGGUGAAAUGCGUAGAUAUCAGGAGGAACACCGGCGGCGAAGGCGGCCUGCUGGACCGUGACUGACGUUGAGGCUCGAGAGCGUGGGGAGCAAACAGGAUUAGAUACCCGAGUACA
rnacentral:rRNA from 1 species